rnacentral:rRNA from 1 species
AGAGUUGAUCAUGGCUCAGAUGAACGCUGCGGCGUGCUACACAUGCAAGUCGAACGAAACUAUUGGAUUGAAGUCUUCGGAAUGAUUGAAAAUAAGUUUAGUGGCGGACGGGUGAGUAACGCGUGGAUAACCUGCCUUUACACUGGGGGACAACAGUUGGAAACGACUGCUAAUACCGCAUAAGCGCACAGUACCGCAUGGUACGGUGUGAAAAACUCCGGUGGUGUAAGAUGGAUCCGCGUCUGAUUAGCUAGUUGGUGGGGUAAUGGCCUACCAAGGCGACGAUCAGUAGCCGGCCUGAGAGGGUGAACGGCCACAUUGGGACUGAGACACGGCCCAGACUCCUACGGGAGGCAGCAGUGGGGAAUAUUGCACAAUGGAGGAAACUCUGAUGCAGCGACGCCGCGUGAGUGAAGAAGUAUUUCGGUAUGUAAAGCUCUAUCAGCAAGGAAGAUAAUAACGGUACUUGACUAAGAAGCCCCGGCUAACUACGUGCCAGCAGCCGCGGUAAUACGUAGGGGGCAAGCGUUAUCCGGAUUUACUGGGUGUAAAGGGAGUGUAGGUGGCAUGGCAAGUCAGAAGUGAAAGCCCGGGGCUCAACCCCGGGACUGCUUUUGAAACUGCCAAGCUAGAGUGCAGGAGAGGUAAGUGGAAUUCCUAGUGUAGCGGUGAAAUGCGUAGAUAUUAGGAGGAACACCAGUGGCGAAGGCGGCUUACUGGACUGUAACUGACACUGAGGCUCGAAAGCGUGGGGAGCAAACAGGAUUAGAUACCCUGGUAGUCCACGCUGUAAACGAUGAAUACUAGAUGUUGGGGCGCAUAAGCGCUUCAGUGUCGCAGAUAACGCGAUAAGUAUUCCACCUGGGGAGUACGUUCGCAAGAAUGAAACUCAAAUGAAUUGACGGAAUCUC